GGUUAACCGAAUAGGGGAGCCGAAGGGAAACCGAGUCUUAACUGGGCGUUAAGUUGCAGGGUAUAGACCCGAAACCCGGUGAUCUAGCCAUGGGCAGGUUGAAGGUUGGGUAACACUAACUGGAGGACCGAACCGACUAAUGUUGAAAAAUUAGCGGAUGACUUGUGGCUGGGGGUGAAAGGCCAAUCAAACCGGGAGAUAGCUGGUUCUCCCCGAAAGCUAUUUAGGUAGCGCCUCGUGAAUUCAUCUUCGGGGGUAGAGCACUGUUUCGGCUAGGGGGUCAUCCCGACUUACCAACCCGAUGCAAACUGCGAAUACCGAAGAAUGUUAUCACGGGAGACACACGGCGGGUGCUAACGUCCGUCGUGAAGAGGGAAACAACCCAGACCGCCAGCUAAGGUCCCAAAGUCAUGGUUAAGUGGGAAACGAUGUGGGAAGGCACAGACAGCCAGGAUGUUGGCUUAGAAGCAGCCAUCAUUUAAAGAAAGCGUAAUAGCUCACUGGUCGAGUCGGCCUGCGCGGAAGAUGUAACGGGGCUAAACCAUGCACCGAAGCUGCGGCAGCGACACUAUGUGUUGUUGGGUAGGGGAGCGUUCUGUAAGCCGUUGAAGGUGUACUGUGAGGUAUGCUGGAGGUAUCAGAAGUGCGAAUGCUGACAUAAGUAACGAUAAUGCGGGUGAAAAACCCGCACGCCGGAAGACCAAGGGUUCCUGUCCAACGUUAAUCGGGGCAGGGUGAGUCGACCCCUAAGGCGAGGCCGAAAGGCGUAGUCGAUGGGAAACAGGUUAAUAUUCCUGUACUUGGUGUUACUGCGAAGGGGGGACGGAGAAGGCUAUGUUAGCCGGGCGACGGUUGUCCCGGUUUAAGCAUGUAGGCGGAGGUUCCAGGUAAAUCCGGUACCUUAUUAACGCUGAGGUGUGAUGACGAGGCACUACGGUGCUGAAGUAACAAAUGCCCUGCUUCCAGGAAAAGCCUCUAAGCAUCAGGUAACACGAAAUCGUACCCCAAACCGACACAGGUGGUCAGGUAGAGAAUACCAAGGCGCUUGAGAGAACUCGGGUGAAGGAACUAGGCAAAAUGGUGCCGUAACUUCGGGAGAAGGCACGCUGAUAUGUAGGUGAAGUGGUUUACCCAUGGAGCUGAAAUCAGUCGAAGAUACCAGCUGGCUGCAACUGUUUAUUAAAAACACAGCACUGUGCAAACACGAAAGUGGACGUAUACGGUGUGACGCCUGCCCGGUGCCGGAAGGUUAAUUGAUGGGGUUAUCCGUAAGGAGAAGCUCUUGAUCGAAGCCCCGGUAAACGGCGGCCGUAACUAUAACGGUCCUAAGGUAGCGAAAUUCCUUGUCGGGUAAGUUCCGACCUGCACGAAUGGCGUAAUGAUGGCCAGGCUGUCUCCACCCGAGACUCAGUGAAAUUGAACUCGCUGUGAAGAUGCAGUGUACCCGCGGCAAGACGGAAAGACCCCGUGAACCUUUACUAUAGCUUGACACUGAACACUGGUCCUUGAUGUGUAGGAUAGGUGGGAGGCUUUGAAGUGUGGACGCCAGUCUGCAUGGAGCCAUCCUUGAAAUACCACCCUUUAAUGGCUGGUGUUCUAACGUAGACCCGUGAUCCGGGUUGCGGACAGUGUCUGGUGGGUAGUUUGACUGGGGCGGUCUCCUCCUAAAGAGUAACGGAGGAGCACGAAGGUUAGCUAAUCCUGGUCGGACAUCAGGAGGUUAGUGCAAAGGCAUAAGCUAGCUUGACUGCGAGAGUGACGGCUCGAGCAGGUGCGAAAGCAGGUCUUAGUGAUCCGGUGGUUCUGAAUGGAAGGGCCAUCGCUCAACGGAUAAAAGGUACUCCGGGGAUAACAGGCUGAUACCGCCCAAGAGUUCAUAUCGACGGCGGUGUUUGGCACCUCGAUGUCGGCUCAUCACAUCCUGGGGCUGAAGUAGGUCCCAAGGGUAUGGCUGUUCGCCAUUUAAAGUGGUACGCGAGCUGGGUUUAGAACGUCGUGAGACAGUUCGGUCCCUAUCUGCCGUGGGCGCUGGAGAAUUGAGGGGGGCUGCUCCUAGUACGAGAGGACCGGAGUGGACGCAUCACUGGUGUUCGGGUUGUCAUGCCAAUGGCAUUGCCCGGUAGCUAAAUGCGGAAGAGAUAAGUGCUGAAAGCAUCUAAGCACGAAACUUGCCCCGAGAUGAGUUCUCCCUGACUCCUUGAGAGUCCUGAAGGAACGUUGAAGACGACGACGUUGAUAGGUCGGGUGUGUAAGUGUAGCGAUACAUUGAGCUAACCGAUACUAAUGAACCGUGAGGCUUAACCUU
rnacentral:rRNA from 2 species